UACGGGGGGAGCAAGCGUUGUUCGGAUUUACUGGGCGUAAAGGGCGCGUAGGCGGCCACCGCAAGUCGACUGUGGAAUCUCCGGGCUUAACUCGGAAAGGUCAGCCGAUACUGCGGGGCUAGAGUGCAGAAGGGGCAACUGGAAUUCUCGGUGUAGCGGUGAAAUGCGUAGAUAUCGAGAGGAACACCUGCGGCGAAGGCGGGUUGCUGGGCUGACACUGACGCUGAGGUGCGAAAGCGUGGGGAGCAAACAGG
rnacentral:rRNA from 1 species